ACUUCAUGUUUCGGGCAUUGCAUGAGCUUUUCAUUGAACCUUUGUCACACCUCAUAUAAGGGCUCACCACUAAGUUGACAGAAAUUUGUGAUCUCAUCCCUUAGUU
rfam:Capsicum annuum cultivar Zunla-1 chromosome 3, whole genome shotgun sequence